GACGAACGCUGGCGGCGUGCCUAAUACAUGCAAGUAGAACGCUGAAGGAGGAGCUUGCUUCUCUGGAUGAGUUGCGAACGGGUGAGUAACGCGUAGGUAACCUGCCUGGUAGCGGGGGAUAACUAUUGGAAACGAUAGCUAAUACCGCAUAGGAGUAGAUGUUGCAUGACAUUUGCUUAAAAGGUGCAAUUGCAUCACUACCAGAUGGACCUGCGUUGUAUUAGCUAGUUGGUGGGGUAACGGCUCACCAAGGCGACGAUACAUAGCCGACCUGAGAGGGUGAUCGGCCACACUGGGACGGAGACACGGCCCAGACUCCUACGGGAGGCAGCAGUAGGGAAUCUUCGGCAAUGGACGGAAGGCUGACCGAGCAACGCCGCGUGAGUGAAGAAGGUUUUCGGAUCGUAAAGCUCUGUUGUAAGAGAAGAACGAGUGUGAGAGUGGAAAGUUCACACUGUGACGGUAUCUGACCAGAAAGGGACGGCUAACUACGUG
rnacentral:rRNA from 1 species